AGUUAUUGUCUGGGGCCUGUUUGUCUUGAAAACAAACUUAAAGUGUUCGAUUCACUUAGUAACUU
rnacentral:tRNA from 1 species